UACGUAGGGUGCGAGCGUUAAUCGGAAUUACUGGGCGUAAAGCGUGCGCAGGCGGUGAUGUAAGACAGUUGUGAAAUCCCCGGGCUCAACCUGGGAACUGCAUCUGUGACUGCAUCGCUGGAGUGCGGCAGAGGGGGAUGGAAUUCCGCGUGUAGCAGUGAAAUGCGUAGAUAUGCGGAGGAACACCGAUGGCGAAGGCAAUCCCCGUGGGCCUGCACUGACGCUCAUGCACGAAAGCGUGGGGAGCAAACAGG
rnacentral:rRNA from 1 species